AACGAACGCUGGCGGCAGGCCUAACACAUGCAAGUCGAGCGAGGACUUCGGUCCUAGCGGCGGACGGGGGAGUAACGCGUGGGAACGUGCCCUUUGCUUCGGAAUAGCCCUGGGAAACUGGGAGUAAGACCGGAUGAGCUCUUUGGGGGAAAGAUGUAUCGGGGAAGGAUCGGCCCGUGUUGGAUUAGGUGGUUGGUGGGGUAAUGGCCUACCAAGCCGACGAUCCAUAGCUGGUUGGAGAAGAUGCUCAGCCACGCUGGGGCUAAGGCACGGCCUAGUCUGCUACGGAGCAGAGGAGUAUGGUAUCUUAGGGGAUGAAGCAUGCCGUGGCCAAGCCGUGCGCGGUAUGCCGUCCAUGGCUUAGGGUUCUACUGUUCCUUCAGCCGGAGCGAGAGUGACGGUACUGGGUGAAGAAGCACCGGCUAACUCCGUG
rnacentral:rRNA from 1 species